rnacentral:hammerhead_ribozyme from 1 species
GCAUUGAUGAAGAGUCCCACAAUAGGACGAAACAGCCGUCCAAUGC